ensembl:snoRNA SNORA70 Small nucleolar RNA SNORA70
CUGCAUCUUGUUUAGACUACUCACCCACCUCCCUGAUGGGGACUCAGUGUGCAGUGGCUGCAAAAAGUGGAUUCCUUGGUUAUUUGUGCAGCUCAUUCCUUUAUGUGUUGUUCUAAGAGACCUUGGCGACAUCA